rnacentral:rRNA from 1 species
GAUGAACGCUAGCGGCAGGCUUAAUACAUGCAAGUCAAGGGGGUAGCAAUACUACCGGCGCACGGGUGAGUAACACGUACAUAACAUACCAUAUACUGGGGUAUAGCUUUGGGAAACUGAAGGUAAUCCCCCAUAACAUUGCGAGAGGGCAUCUGAUUGCAAUUAAAGUUUCGACGGUAUAUGAUUGAUGUGCGUUUGAUUAGCUUGUUGGUAGGGUAACGGCCUACCAAGGCGACGAUCAAUAGCUGGCGUGAGAGCGCGACUAGCCACACUGGAACUGAGACACGGUCCAGACUCCUACGGGAGGCAGCAGUAGGGAAUAUUGGACAAUGGGCGAAAGCCUGAUCCAGCCAUGCCGCGUGAUAGAUGAAGGCCCUCUGGGUUGUAAAUAUCUUUA